rnacentral:rRNA from 1 species
AACCUCCGCAAUGUGAGAAAUCGCGACGGGGGGACCCCAAGUGCCAUUCUUAACGGGAUGGCUUUUCAUUAGUGUAAAGAGCUUUUGGAAUAAGAGCUGGGCAAGACCGGUGCCAGCCGCCGCGGUAACACCGGCAGCUCUAGUGGUAACAAUUUUUAUUGGGCCUAAAGCGUCCGUAGCCGGUUUAAUAAGUCUCUGGUGAAAUCCUGUAGCUUAACUGUGGGAAUUGCUGGAGAUACUAUUAGACUUGAGACCGGGAGAGGUUAGAGGUACUCCCAGGGUAGAGGUGAAAUUCUGUAAUCCUGGGAGGACCGCCUGUUGCGAAGGCGUCUAACUGGAACGGUUCUGACGGUGAGGGACGAAAGUUAGGGGCGCGAACCGGAUUAGAUACCCGGGUAGUCCUAACUGUAAACGAUGCGGACUUGGUGUUGGGGUGGCUUUGAGCUGCUCCAGUGUCGAAGGGAAGCUGUUAAGUCCGCCGCCUGGGAAGUACGGUCGCAAGACUGAAACUUAAAGGAAUU